rnacentral:rRNA from 1 species
UACGUAGGGUGCGAGCGUUAAUCGGAAUUACUGGGCGUAAAGCGUGCGCAGGCGGUUUUGUAAGCCAGAUGUGAAAUCCCCGGGCUUAACCUGGGAAUGGCAUUUGGGACUGCAAGGCUUGAGUGCGGCAGAGGAGACUGGAAUUCCUGGUGUAGCAGUGAAAUGCGUAGAUAUCGGGAGGAACACCAGUGGCGAAGGCGACUACCUGGCCUGUUCUUGACGCUGAGGCGCGAAAGCUAGGGGAGCAAACGGGG